UCCAGAACCCAAAUCUUGAUCUCCAUUCUCCGCCGCUCGACGUUAACCCUAGCAGCCGCGCACAACGAUCGAAGGCGCCGCCACAAAUCAACCAGGUGAUUUGCUAUCGACCUCCUCUCAGGGAUCCGGCUCUCGUAGCGUCGGCCCUCUUCCUCAAGCCUCCACUGCUCAGUUCUAGCCCCUGCUCUACCUCUGUUCCUCUCUCCCUCAGAUCGAACCAUAGGCGACCUCUAUGUUCACGCAUGAGGUAGAUAAGCUCUGCACUGGAAUGGAGAAAGGAGCCCACAACAAUCGGUCCGCCUGCGUGCAGCCAUUCCAUGGCGUCGUGUGGCUCCCAAGAUCCAGGCCGACAGGCCAUGGUGGACUGGUUUCCUGCUGCACCUCUGCAUCGUGAGGUCCACCCUACGACAGCGAAGUAAAUAGGUUCCAUCGUCUAAGCCGCAGGUUGUUGCCAGAGACGAUGUGUCCGUCCUCGCUCGCUGCAGACAUUGCCAAAGAUGCAUGCACUUCGCCAAUGCAGAAACUGAGCCGACAAGAGAAUAGUCCAUAUCUUGCUAGUGUAGCUUAUUUAUCUUCAGUCACUUUAUUGAUGGACAUGGCUCUUUGAAGAUGCUGCAUCUCAACAUAUGUUAAGGUACAUACUAUCCUGAACUGCUGUUUUUCUAGAGUAGUUCAUACUGAUACGGGCUUCGUAAGUAUAGAUACUUCAGAUAUAUAAUUUUUACUUCAUAGACAAUAUUCUCUUAAAAGUUAGAACUCUUAAUUCAGCCUACUUUUGGUCUGAUUCAUAUCGCUGAUUUCUUUUCCUUUCUCAGCGUUGUUCAGUGGUUAGUCAGAAUAUCCAAUAGUUUCACACAUAAAAUAAACUGAGGACUUUUGGUGCCAAAAUAUGUAGUUCAAUUUAAAUUUCCUUGUGAUAGCUGCACACUCUAACCAGAUUACAAUCAUCUUACAUGAAUAUUCAGGUUUUCUGGCAAAGCUACCAAAGAAACAGGUAGACCGGUGCUUUGCAUGGUGAAAAUAUCCUCUGUUUUAGAUAUAUAUACAUGCGCCCAUACAUAUAUGUCUUCUGACAUUCUUGCAUGGUGAUUAGUAGGGCUAGUACGUAGUAGAAUUCAGUAUACCCUUCACACUUUUUUCCACAUCGAUUCUAAAUUUAGAACUUUGUUUUUGCAGGCCCAAAAUUCAGCAAGGACUGCUAUAUUCGGAUAUAAGAUCUGUACACUAGAAGGCAGAACAUUAGAAGGAAUCAGAUUCAAACUUGUAUAAAUAGGAUUAUUUAUGAUGUAGUAUUUCGAUGUAAGAUUGUAAGCU